CGAAAAAAAUCAGAAUAGAAAUCUCCUGUAUCUCACGACGUUGCUAAAAUAACAGUUGUGGUUUCGAAAUGUGUUUUUGUUGCGCUUUCAUUUGCUCGCUGUCGGUUUCAUCGUGGAAGUGGAAGUAUGUGACUUGAAUUUAAAAUAUUUCUGUACAUCUAACAAUGAUUCAUUUCUUCUAAAUACAACGUGCGUCAUGUGUUUAGGCCUCUACUCGAAAAAGCGGAGUUUCUGGAAACAGUGCUGGAGGAACAGUUCUCCCCGGAGGAUCCUCCGGCGCAGUUAUAAACCACAAAAUCAACUGCCCGGCGAAUGGAUCUUCGACGUUCAACUCGCAGCCCAAUUUUUCACCGUCAAACAUAUGGUUGAGCUGGCGAAAUAUAUGAAUUCUUAUGAACGUGCCAAUGAGACCAGCACCGGCGUCGUUAUUUUAUGAAUAAAACUUUUUCUAAUAUUAUACUGCUUCUCAUAAAGAAUAAUAAAAGUUUAUUGAUUUUGAAAA